CUAACAGGGAGUUAUAUAACCUUCUGCUUUAACCUAUGAACUUUUGGUCAGACCCAGAAGAGACAACGUUAGAACAAAGAUUUUAAAAACUAAUAUUUCAAAUCAAAUCUCAGACAUCAUUUAAAGCCAAAGAAUCCUUAAAGCUCCUGAGGGAAGAAGCAAAGAUGGAAGGAGCAAACCUAUAUCUAUAAAUAGCUGCAGGAAUGCAAUUCCCAACACAGAGGCUCCAGGUUCAAGGCACCCACAGGAGAAGCCGAAGGCAACUUGAGCGGGAGGAAGCUUACAGUUAGUGACAAUAAGGGAAGACAACCUGAGCAAGAUGCUGAAAAGGGAAGGGGAGAGCAGCUAAGAGAAUCUCAGAACGAAGCCAAAGAAUGGAGUGAGUCCUGCCUGAAGCUAGUGCUACUUCUGACCCCUCAGAUGACUUCUUCAGCAUUACUGGUUGGGACAUAGACUUGGAUUGAGUGGAAAGUGGUGAUUGCCAAGCGCUGCAGUGCUGAGUGCCCGAGAGGAGACACCCUACAUCCAAGGUCAGGAGCAGCGGCUGUGCAUUGCAGCCAAGAAGAGAUAUCCCAUGUCCAAGAAGUUCCUAAUACAGAUAAAAUAGAAAAUGCUUUGUCUGACACAAGAUACCAAAUUUCUCCAGUGUUUUAUUUGCUACCCAGUGGUCCUAGUUGUAAAGAGAUGAGGGUUUGAUCCCUGGUUUGGGAAGAUUCCCUGGAGGAAGAAAUGGCAACCCACUCCAGUGUUCUUGCUGGGAAAAUUCCACGGACAGAGGAGCCUGGCAGGAUAUAUAGUCCAUGGGAUCACAGAGAGUUGGACACAACAAGCAACUUAUCAUGCACCCAGUCUCUAUAUCCUCUCUCAUUAACAAUGUGAGAUAAUUAUUUUUUCUUAUGUGUCAGAUGAUAACUUUAGAGACAGCUAAUAUUUUAAAAUUCUUUAACAUGUGUAAAUGUGUUGUGAUUAUUAAUAAAAUUGCAUUUGGAGGACAGGUCUUAAAAAAUAAUUUUUCAGCUUGAAAAAAACAAGCUUCACUGUUGAAAAUUUGAAGAUACAAAUGAAUUAUUAAGAUGACACUGGUGGUAAAAAACCUGCCUGCCAAUGCAGGAGACGGAAGAGACACGGGUUCCAUCCCUGGUUGGGGAAGAUGCUCUGGAGGAAGGCAGGGC